GCCUGGGUGGCUCAGUCGGUUAAGCGUCUGACUGCGGCUCAGGUCACGAACUCCAGGUUUGUGGGUUCGAGCCCCGCUUCGGGCU
rnacentral:tRNA from 1 species